CUCUGGUGUUGAGGAGGCUUACGCCUUCUGGGGCAUCUGGAGCCUGUCAGUUCCUGAGGAUCCCUGACUGUGUGGCAUGUCUUCAUUACUUCAGGAUGCCAGAGGGGAUGGAGUUGCUUAGGAAGAAGCCCUCAGUAACUCAGGCAUGAGGGAUUCAAGAAAACUCAGGCUGUGGGAGCUCACUGAUUCAACCAGGUCAGCCCAACACUUGUGGUCCCACUGCAGUGAAGGCCCAUGGCCAUUGGAAACUGGAACCAUGCUAUGUAGCUGGCCCAAAGUAUGUGAACCUGGCUGGAUGGCUGAUGAACUUGCAACUGGGACAGGUAUUAAAAUUCUGCCUUCCCGCCCUAGUCUCAUUAUUGUUGCC